rnacentral:rRNA from 1 species
CGCAUGAUUUUCUUAUCAAAGAUUUAUUGCUUUGAGAUGGACCCGCGGCGCAUUAGCUAGUUGGUAAGGUAACGGCUUACCAGGGCAACGAUGCGUAGCCGACCUGAGAGGGUGAUCGGCCACAUUGGAACUGAGACACGGUCCAGACUCCUACGGGAGGCAGCAGUGGGGAAUAUUGCACAAUGGGGGAAACCCUGAUGCAGCAACGCCGCGUGAGUGAUGACGGUCUUCGGAUUGUAAAACUCUGUCUUUGGGGACGAUAAUGACGGUACCCAAGGAGGAAGCCACGGCUAACUAC